rnacentral:snoRNA from 1 species
UUUUUCUUUGAUACGAAUGUCUCCUAUUCACUGCACCAUUUAGGACCAAUGAAUGAGUGGAGGGGAAAAGGAGCCUAGACGAAGUUCAACAGCCAACCUCAUAAUCAAGAACAUUAUCUCUUAAUCUGUUUUUGAUACUGGGCAGCUUGAUACAUAC